GACCUAGUGUUGCACAGUGGUUUGAGUGUUGGACUACAACUCCAGAGACCAGGGUUCAAUUCCCAGCUUGGCCC